rnacentral:rRNA from 1 species
GACGAACGCUGGCGGCGUGCUUAACACAUGCAAGUCGAGCGGUAAGGCCUUUCGGGGUACACGAGCGGCGAACGGGUGAGUAACACGUGGGUGAUCUGCCCUGCACUUCGGGAUAAGCCUGGGAAACUGGGUCUAAUACCGGAUAUGACCUCCUAUCGCAUGGUGGGUGGUGGAAAGAUUUAUCGGUGCAGGAUGGGCCCGCGGCCUAUCAGCUUGUUGGUGGGGUAAUGGCCUACCAAGGCGACGACGGGUAGCCGACCUGAGAGGGUGACCGGCCACACUGGGACUGAGACACGGCCCAGACUCCUACGGGAGGCAGCAGGGGGGAAUAUUGCACAAUGGGCGAAAGCCUGAUGCAGCGACGCCGCGUGAGGGGUGACGGCCUUCGGGUUGUAAACCUCUUUCAGCAGGGACGAAGCGCAAGUGACGGUACCUGCAGAAGAAGCACCGGCUAACUACGUG